rnacentral:rRNA from 1 species
ACGGAAGGCAGCAGUGGGGAAUAUUGCACAAUGGGCGAAAGCCUGAUGCAGCGACGCCGCGUGAGUGAAGAAGUAUCUCGGUAUGUAAAGCUCUAUCAGCAGGGAAGAAAAUGACGGUACCUGACUAAGAAGCCCCGGCUAACUACGUGCCAGCAGCCGCGGUAAUACGUAGGGGGCAAGCGUUAUCCGGAUUUACUGGGUGUAAAGGGAGCGUAGACGGUUUGGCAAGUCCGAAGUGAAAUGCGGGGGCUCAACUCCUGAACUGCUUUGGAAACUGUCGAACUAGAGUGCAGGAGAGGUAAGUGGAAUUCCUAGUGUAGCGGUGAAAUGCGUAGAUAUUAGGAGGAACACCAGUGGCGAAGGCGGCUUACUGGACUGUAACUGACGUUGAGGCUCGAAAGCGUGGGGAGCAAACAGGAUUAGAUACCCUGGUA